rnacentral:rRNA from 1 species
AUUGAACGCUGGCGGCAUGAUUUACACAUGCAAGUCGAACGGUAACAGGCCGCAAGGUGCUGACGAGUGGCGAACGGGUGAGUAAUGCAUCGGAACGUGCCCAGUCGUGGGGGAUAACUACUCGAAAGAGUAGCUAAUACCGCAUACGAUCUAUGGAUGAAAGCGGGGGACCGUAAGGCCUCGCGCGAUUGGAGCGGCCGAUGUCAGAUUAGGUAGUUGGUGGGGUAAAGGCUCACCAAGCCAACGAUCUGUAGCUGGCCUGAGAGGACGACCAGCCACACUGGGACUGAGACACGGCCCAGACUCCUACGGGAGGCAGCAGUGGGGAAUUUUGGACAAUGGGCGCAAGCCUGAUCCAGCAAUGCCGCGUGCAGGAAGAAGGCCUUCGGGUUGUAAACUGCUUUUGUACGGAACGAAACGGCUCUGGUUAAUACCCGGGGCUAAUGACGGUACCGUAAGAAUAAGCACCGGCUAACUACGUG